UACGUAGGGGGGCAAGCGUUGUCCGGAAUUAUUGGGCGUAAAGAGCUUGUAGGUGGUUUGUCGCGUCUGCUGUGAAAAUCCGAGGCUCAACCUCGGACUUGCAGUGGGUACGGGCAGACUAGAGUGUGGUAGGGGAGACUGGAAUUCCUGGUGUAGCGGUGGAAUGCGCAGAUAUCAGGAGGAACACCGAUGGCGAAGGCAGGUCUCUGGGCAGUAACUGACGCUGGAGGAGCGAAAGCGUGGGGAGCGAACAGG
rnacentral:rRNA from 1 species